AUAAAAUGACCGGCGUAAUGUAGCUUCGAUCUCGGUUGAAGUAUUAGAGCCUCUGGUAGAUGUGGUGAUCGGGACUGAUGAUUGCAACGAAUAUCCUUUGUGCUAUCUGUCUGACCUCUGAAAGUUGCUCAGGUGCCGAAAGCGUGCUUACGGUCAUCUAAGUUGACGGUCAAUAGGUUAGAACGUGAUUACAUUCGUUAAGGAUGUUGGCGUAAUGGCUUUAAACGACCCGUCUUUAAACACGG
rnacentral:rRNA from 1 species